rnacentral:rRNA from 1 species
UACGUAGGGGGCAAGCGUUGUCCGGAUUUAUUGGGCGUAAAGAGCGUAUAGGCGGCCAGGUAGGUCAGCUGUGAAAACUCGAGGCUUAACCUCGAGACGCCGGCUGAAACCCUCUGGCUAGAGUCCGGAAGAGGAGAGCGGAAUUCCUGGUGUAGCGGUGAAAUGCGCAGAUAUCAGGAAGAACACCCGUGGCGAAGGCGGCUCUCUGGGACGGUACUGACGCUGAGACGCGAAAGCGUGGGGAGCGAACAGG